GGACAGGUGGUCGAGUGGUCGAUGGCACCGCACUCGAAAUGCGGCGAGCCUGCAAGGGCUCCGUGGGUUCGAAUCCCACCCUGUCCGCCA
rnacentral:tRNA from 1 species